GGGUCCUUGUGUAGUGGUAACACAUCGCCUUGUAAUCCUGAAUGGCAUUUACGGCUGACUCCUGAGUACGGGGUUCGAGCCCCCGAGGAUGCG